GACGAACGCUGGCGGCGUGCUAAACACAUGCAAGUCGAACGAUGAACCCGGAGCUUGCUCCGGUGGAUUAGUGGCGAACGGGUGAGUAACACGUGAGUAACCUGCCCUUGACUCUGGGAUAACUGCGGGAAACUGUAGCUAAUACCGGAUACGACCCUCGGCGGCAUCGCACGGGGGUGGAAAGAAUUUCGGUCAAGGAUGGACUCGCGGCCGAUCAGCUAGUUGGUGAGGUAACGGCUCACCAAGGCGACGACGGGUAGCCGGCCUGAGAGGGGGACCGGCCACACUCGGACUGAGACACGGCCCAGACUCCUACGGGAGGCAGCAGGGGGGAAUAUUGCACAAUGGGCGCAAGCCUGAUGCAGCAACGCCGCGUGAGGGAUGACGGCCUUCGGGUUGUAAACCUCUUUUAGUAGGGAAGAAGCGAAAGUGACGGUACCUGCAGAAAAAGCACCGGCUAACUACGUGCCAGCCGCCGCAGUAA
rnacentral:rRNA from 1 species